rnacentral:rRNA from 1 species
UACGUAGGGGGCUAGCGUUGUCCGGAAUCAUUGGGCGUAAAGAGCGCGUAGGCGGCUGGAAUAGUCCGGUGUGAAAUCCACAGGCUUAACCUGUGAAUGCCGCUGGAAACUGUCUGGCUAGAGUCCGGAAGGGGCGAGUGGAAUUCCUGGUGUAGCGGUGAAAUGCGCAGAUAUCAGGAGGAACACCUGCGAUGUAGACGGCUUACUGGACCAUAACUGACGCUGAGGCACGAAAGCGUGGGUAGCAAACAGG